rnacentral:rRNA from 1 species
GCAGUGGGGAAUAUUGGACAAUGGGCGCAAGCCUGAUCCAGCCAUGCCGCGUGAGUGAUGAAGGCCCUAGGGUUGUAAAGCUCUUUUGUGCGGGAAGAUAAUGACGGUACCGCAAGAAUAAGCCCCGGCUAACUUCGUGCCAGCAGCCGCGGUAAUACGAAGGGGGCUAGCGUUGCUCGGAAUCACUGGGCGUAAAGGGUGCGUAGGCGGGUCUUUAAGUCAGAGGUGAAAUCCUGGAGCUCAACUCCAGAACUGCCUUUGAUACUGAGGAUCUUGAGUUCGGGAGAGGUGAGUGGAACUGCGAGUGUAGAGGUGAAAUUCGUAGAUAUUCGCAAGAACACCAGUGGCGAAGGCGGCUCACUGGCCCGAUACUGACGCUG